rnacentral:rRNA from 1 species
GGUUAAGCGACUAAGCGUACACGGUGGAUGCCCUGGCAGUCAGAGGCGAUGAAGGGCGUGCUAAUCUGCGAUAAGCGCCGGUAAGGUGAUAUGAACCGUUAUAACCGGCGAUACCCGAAUGGGGAAACCCAGUGUGAUUCGUCACACUAUCAUUAACUGAAUCCAUAGGUUAAUGAGGCGAACCGGGGGAACUGAAACAUCUAAGUACCCCGAGGAAAAGAAAUCAACCGAGAUUCCCCCAGUAGCGGCGAGCGAACGGGGAGGAGCCCAGAGCCUGAAUCAGCAUGUGUGUUAGUGGAAGCGUCUGGAAAGGCGCGCGAUACAGGGUGACAGCCCCGUACACAAAAGCGCAUGUGCUGUGAGCUCGAUGAGUAGGGCGGGACACGUGGUAUCCUGUCUGAAUAUGGGGGGACCAUCCUCCAAGGCUAAAUACUCCUGACUGACCGAUAGUGAACCAGUACCGUGAGGGAAAGGCGAAAAGAACCCCGGCGAGGGGAGUGAAAAAGAACCUGAAACCGUGUACGUACAAGCAGUGGGAGCACCCUUCGGGGUGUGACUGCGUACCUUUUGUAUAAUGGGUCAGCGACUUAUAUUCUGUAGCAAGGUUAACCGAAUAGGGGAGCCGGAGGGAAACCGAGUCUUAACCGGGCGUUAAGUUGCAGGGUAUAGACCCGAAACCCGGUGAUCUAGCCAUGGGCAGGUUGAAGGUUGGGUAACACUAACUGGAGGACCGAACCGACUAAUGUUGAAAAAUUAGCGGAUGACCUGUGGCUGGGGGUGAAAGGCCAAUCAAACCGGGAGAUAGCUGGUUCUCCCCGAAAGCUAUUUAGGUAGCGCCUCGUGAAUUCAUCUCCGGGGGUAGAGCACUGUUUCGGCUAGGGGGCCAUCCCGGCUUACCAACCCGAUGCAAACUGCGAAUACCGGAGAAUGUUAUCACGGGAGACACACGGCGGGUGCUAACGUCCGUCGUGAAGAGGGAAACAACCCAGACCGCCAGCUAAGGUCCCAAAGUCAUGGUUAAGUGGGAAACGAUGUGGGAAGGCCCAGACAGCCAGGAUGUUGGCUUAGAAGCAGCCAUCAUUUAAAGAAAGCGUAAUAGCUCACUGGUCGAGUCGGCCUGCGCGGAAGAUGUAACGGGGCUAAACCAUGCACCGAAGCUGCGGCAGCGAC